UUGGAGGGCAAGUCUGGUGCCAGCAGCCGCGGUAAUUCCAGCUCCGAUAGCGUAUAUUAAAGUUGUUGCAGUUAAAAAGCUCGUAGUUGAAUUUCGGGAUUGACGUGAUGGUCAUGCCUUAAGGGGUAUGAACUGUUACUGUUGAUUUCUCACCUUCUGGAGAAACUUGAUGUCCUUUAUUGGGUGUCUUGCGGAUCCAGGACCUUUACCUUGAAAAAAUUAGAGUGUUUAAAGCAGGCAUUUUUGCUCGAAUACAUUAGCAUGGAAUAAUAGAAUAGGACGGCAUGGUUCUAUUUUGUUGGUUUCUAGGAUCACCGUAAUGAUUAAUAGGGAUAGUUGGGGGCAUUAGUAUUCAAUUGUCAGAGGUGAAAUUCUUGGAUUUAUUGAAGACUAACUACUGCGAAAGCAUUUGCCAAGGAUGUUUUCAUUAAUCAAGAACGAAAGUUAGGGGAUCGAAGACGAUCAGAUACCGUCGUAGUCUUAACCAUAAACUAUGCCGACUAGGAAUCAGACGAUGUUAAUUUUUUAAUGACUCGUUUGGCACCUUACGGGAAACCAAAGUGUUUGGGUUC
rnacentral:rRNA from 1 species